rnacentral:rRNA from 1 species
UAACACGUGGAUAAUCUGCCCUGCACAGGGGGACAACAGCUAGAAAUGGCUGCUAAUACCGCAUAAGCCUACAGCCUCGCAUGAGGGAGUAGGAAAAGAAAUUCGGUGCAGGAUGAGUCCGCGUCUGAUUAGCUAGUUGGAGGGGUAAGAGCCCACCAAGGCAACGAUCAGUAGCCGGCCUGAGAGGGCGACCGGCCACAUUGGGACUGAGACACGGCCCAAACUCCUACGGAAGGCAGCAG